GACAGAGGGUGCAAACGUUGUUCGGAAUUACUGGGCGUAAAGCGCGUGUAGGCGGCAAUACAAGUCGGAUGUGAAAUCCCGCGGCUUAACCGUGGAAGUGCACCCGAAACUGUAUCGCUAGAGUCCCGGAGAGGAUGGUGGAAUACUUGGUGUAGAGGUGAAAUUCGUAGAUAUCAAGUGGAACACCGGUGGCGAAGGCGGCCAUCUGGACGGUGACUGACGCUGAGACGCGAAAGCGUGGGUAGCAAACAGG
rnacentral:rRNA from 1 species